GACGAACGCUGGCGGCGUGCUUAACACAUGCAAGUCGAACGUAGUGGCGAACGAGUGAGUAACGCGUAAUCAACCUGCCCUUCAGAGGGGGACAACAGUUGGAAACGACUGCUAAUACCGCAUACUGAAGGAGGGGAUUGCGUCUGAUUAGCUAGUUGGAGGGGUAACGGCCCACCAAGGUGAUGAUCAGUAGCCGGUCUGGAGGGGUUGACGGCCAAAAUGGGAAUGAGAAACGGCCCAGGAUCCUAAGGGAGGGAACAGUGGGGAAACAUCCGAAAUGGACGAAAGUCUGACGGAGCAACGCCGGGGGAGUGGUGAAGGCCUUCGGGUUGUAAAGCUCUGUUAAUCGGGGCGCGGUACCGGAAUAGAAAGCAACGGCUAACUACGUGCCAGCAGCCGCGGUAAUAC
rnacentral:rRNA from 1 species